GCAAGAUAAUUGCAUAGGUACACACGUGGCAGUGUGAUUUGCUGCCUUCCUCCCCUUCACCCACAUCUGGCAUUUCUCCCCAUGCUAUCCCUCCCCAACUCCCCCCACCGCUGUCCCUCCCUAUUUCCCCCAACAGACUCCAGUGUGUGAUGCUUCCCUCCCUGUGUCCAUGUGUUCUCAUUGUUCAUCACCCGCCUAUGAGUGAGAACAUGUGGUAUUUCAUUUACUGUUCUUGUGUCAGUUUGCUGAGAAUAAUGUUCUCCAGAUUUAUCCAUGUCCCUACAAAGGACACGAACUCAUCAUUUCUGAUUGCUGCAUAAUAUUCCACGGUGUAUAUGUGCCACAUUUUCCCGGUCCAGUCUAUCAUCGAUGGGCAUUUGGGUUGGUUUGCUAUUGUAAACAGUGCUGCAAUGAACUUUCAUGUGCAUGUGUCCUUAUAGUAGAAUGAUUUAUAGUCCUUUGGAUAUAUGCCCAGUAAUGGGAUUGCUGGGUCAAAUGGAAUUUCUAUUUCUAGGUCCUUGAGGAAUCACCACACUGUCUUCCACAAUGGUUGAACUAAUUUACACUCCCACCAGCAGUGUAAAAGUGUUCCUAUUUCUCCACAUCCUCUCCAGCAUCUGCUGUCUACAGAUUUUUUAAUGAUUGCCAUUCUAACUGGCAUGAGACGGUAUCCCAAUGUAGUUUUGAUUUGCAUUUCUCUAAUGACCAGUGAUGAUGAGCAUUUUUAAAUAUGUUUGUUGGCCUCAUGUAUGUCUUCUUUAAAGUGUCUGUUUAUAUCUUUUGCCCAUUUUUUAAUGGGCUCGUUUGUUUUUUUCUUGUAAAUCUGUUUUAGUUCUUUGUAAAUUCUGGAUAUCAGCCCUUUGUCAGAUGGGUAAACUGCAAACAUUUUUUCCCAUUCUAUUGGUUGCUGAUUCACAAUAAUGACUGUUUCUUUUGACGGGCAGAAGCUGUGGAGUUUGAUUAGGUCCCAUUUGUCUAUUUUGGCUUUUGUUGCCAAUGCUUUUGGUGUUUUGUUCAUGAAGUCCUUGCCUACUCCUAUGUCCUGAAUGGUUUUGCCUAGAUUUUCUUCUAGGGUUUUUAUGGUGCCAGGUCUUAUGUUUAAGUCUUUAAUCCAUCUGGAGUUAAUUUUAGUGUAAGGUGUCAGGAAGGGGCCCAGUUUCUGCUUUCUGCACAUGGCUAGCCAGUUUUCCCAACACCAUUUAUUAAACAGGGAAUCCUUUCCCCAUUGCUUGUUUUUGUCAGGCUUAUCCAAGAUUGUAUGGUUGUAGAUAUGUUGUGUUGCUCCGAUGCUUCUGUUCUGUUGCAUUGGUCUAUAUCUCUGUUUUGGUACCAGUACCAUGCUGUUUUGAUUACUGUAGCCUUGUAGUAUAGUUUGAAGUCCGGUAGAUACUUCCUGCUGUGUUCUUUUUGCUUAGAAUUGACUUGGCUAUGCAGGCUCUCUUUUGGUUCCAUAUGAAGUUUAAGGUGGUUUUUUCCAGUUCUGUGAAGGAGGUCAUUGGUAGCUUGAUGGAGAUAGCAUUGAAUCUGUAAAUUACUUUGGGCAGUAUGGCCAUUUUCACGAUACUGAUUCUUCCUAACCAUGAACAUGGAAUGUUUCUCCAUCUGUUUGUGUCCUUUCUCAUUUCGUUGAGCAGUGGUUUGUAGUUCUCCUUGAAGAGGUCCUUUACGUUCCUUGUUAGUUGUAUUCCUAGGUAUUUUAUUCUUUUUGUAGCAAUUGUGAAUGGCAGUUUGUUCUUGAUUUGGCUCUCUUUAAGUCUGCUAUUGGUGUAUAGGAAUGCUUAUGAUUUUUGCACAUUGAUUUUGUAUCCUGAGACUUUGCUGAAGUUGCUUAUCAGUUUCAGCAGUUUUUGGGCUAAGACAAUGGGUCUUCUAGAUAUACUAUCAUGUCAUCUGCAAAUAGAGACAAUUUGGCUUCUUCCUUUCCUAUUUGAAUACCCUUUAUUUCUUUUUCUUGCCUGAUUGCUCUGGCUAGAACUUCCAGUACUAUAUUGAAUAGGAGUGGUGAGAGAGAGUAUCCUUUUCUAGUGCCAGAUUUCAAAGGGAAUGCUUCCAGUUUUUGCCCAUUCAGUAUGAUAUUGGCUGUUGGUUUGUCAUAAAUAGCUUUUAUUAUUUUGAGAUACAUUUCAUUGAUACCGAGUUUAUUGAGGGUUUUUAGCAUAAAGGGCUGUUGAAUUUUGUCAAAGGCCUUCUCUGCGUCAAUUGAGAUAAUCAUGUGGUUUUUGUUUUUGGUUCUGUUUAUGUGGUGAAUUACGUUUAUAGACUGCGUAUGUUGAACCAGCUGUGCAUCCCUGGGAUGAAUCCUACUUGAUCAUGGUGGAUAAGCUUUUUGAUUUGCUGUUGCAAUUAGCUUGCCAGAAUUUUAUUGAAGGUUUUUGCGUCUAUGUUUAUCAUGGAUAUUGGCCUGAAGUUUUCUUUUCUUGUUGAGUCUCUGCUGGGUUUUGGUAUCAGGAUGAUGUUGGUCUCAUAAAAUGAUUUGGUAAGGAUUCCCUCUUUUUGGAUUAUUUGGAAUAGUUUCAGGAGGAAUGGUAACAGUUCCUCUUUGUGUGUCUGGUAGAAUUCGACUGUGAACCCAUCUGGACCUGGGCUUUUUUUGUGUGGUAGGCUCUUAAUUGCUGCCUCAACUUCAGAUCUUGUUAUUGGUCUGUUCAUAGUUUCGACUUCCUCCUGGUUUAUGCUUGGGAGGACACAGGAGUUCAGGAAUUUAUCCAUUUCUUCCAGGUUUACUAGUUUAUGUGCAUAGAGUUGUUUGUAAUAUUCUCUGAUGAUGGUUUGAAUUUCUGUGGAAUCUGUGGUGAUUUCCCCUUUAUCGUUUUUUAUUGUAUCUAUUUGGUUAUUCUCUCUUUUCUUUUUUAUUAAUCUGGCUAGUGGUCUGUCUAUUUUGUUGAUCCUUUCAAAAAACCAGCUCCUGGAUUUAUUGAUUUUUUGAAGGGUUUUUCGUGUCUCUAUCUCCUUCAGUUCUGCUCUGAUCUUAGUUAUUUCUUGUCUUCUGCUAGGUUUUGAGUUUUUUUGAUCUUGCUCCUCUAGCUCUUUCAAUUUUUGACGAUAGGGUGUCAAUUUUAGAUCUCUCCAUUCUUCUCAUGUGGGCACUUAUUGCUAUACAUUUUCCUCUAGAAACUGCUUUAAAUGUGUCCCAGAGAUUGUGGUAUGUUGUGUCUUCGUUCCGUUGGGUUUGAAGAACUUCUUUAUUUCUGCCUUCCUUUCAUUGUUUAUCCAGUCAACAUUCAAGAGCCAGCUGUUCAGUUUCCAUGAAGCUGUGCGGUUCUGAGUUAGUUUCUGAAUUCUGAGUUCUAACUUGAUUGCACUGUGGUCUGAGAGACUGUUUGUUAUGAUUUCCAUUCUUUUGCAUUUGCUGAGGAGUGAUUACUUUCAAUUAUGUGGUCAAUUUUAGAGUAGGUGUGAUGUGGUGCUGAGAAGAAUGUAUAUCCUGUGGAUUUGGGUUGGAGAGUUCUGUAAAUGUCUAUCAGGUUUGCUUGUUCCAGGUCUGAGUUCAAGUCCUGGAUAUCCUUAUUAAUUUUCUGACUGGUUGAUCUGUCUCAUCUUGACAGUGGAGUGUCAAAGUCUCCCACUAUUAUUGUGUGGGAGUCUAAGUCUCUUUGUAAGUCAUUAAGAACUUGCCUUAUACAUCUGGGUGCUCCUGUAUUGGGUCCAUAUAUAGUUAGGAUUGUUAGCUCUUCUUGUUGUAUCGAUCCUUUUACCAUUAUGUAAUGACCUUCUUUGUCUCUUUUGAUCUUUGUUGCUUUAAAGUCUAUUUUAUCAGAGAUGAGAAUUGCAAGUCCUGCUUUUUUUUUGCUCUCCAUUUGCUUGGUAAAUCUUCCUCCAUCCCUUUAUUUUGAGCCUUUGUGUAUCCUUGCAUGUGAGAUGGGUUUCCUGGAUAUGGCACACCAAUGGGUUUUGGCUUUUUAUCCAAUUUGCCAGUCUGUGUCUUUUGAUUGGUGCAUUUGGCCCAUUUACAUUUAGGGUUAAUAUUGUUAUGUGUGAAUUUGAUACUGCCAUUUUGAUUCUAGCUGGCUGUUUUGCUCAUUAGUUGAUGCAGAUUCUUCAUUUUGUUGAUGCUCUUUAGCAUUUGGUAUGUUUUUGGUGUGGCUGGUACUGGUUGUUCCUUUCUAUGUGUAGCACCUCUUUCAGGAGCUCUUGUAAAGCAGGCCUGGUGGUGACAAAAUCUCUGAGUACUUGCUUGUUCGUGAAGGAUUUUAUUUUUCCUUCACUUAUGAAGCUUAGUUUGGCUGGAUAUGAAAGUCUUGGUUGCAAGUUCUUUUUUUUAAGGAUGUUGAAUAUUGACCCCCCACUCUCUUCUGGCUUGUAGGGUUUCUGCCGAGAGAUCUGCUGUGAGUCUGAUGGGCUUCCCUUUGUGGGUAACCCGACCUUUCUCUCUGGCUGCCCGUAGCAUUUUCUCCUUCAUUUCAACCCUGGUGAAUCUGACGAUUAUGUGCCUUGGGGUUGCUCUUCUUGAGGAAUAUCUUUGUGGUGUUCUCUGUAUUUCCUGGAUUUGAAUUUUGGCCUGCCUUGCUAUGUUGGGGAAAUUUUCCUGGAUAAUAUCCUGAAAAGUGUUUUCCGCCUUGGAUUCAUUUUCUUCAUCACAUUCAGGUACACCUAUCAAAGGUAGAUUAGGUCUCUUCACGUAGUCCCACAUUUCUUGGAGACUUUGUUCAUUCCUUUUUGUGCUUUUUUCUCUAAUCUUGCCUUCUUGUUUUAUUUCGUGGAGUUGAUCUUUGACCUCUGAUAUCCUUUCUUCUGCUUGGUCAGUUUGGCUGUUGAAACUUGUGCAUGCUUUGUGAAGUUCUCGUGUUGUGUUUUUCAGCCCCAUCAAUUCACUCAUAUUCCUCUCUAAGUUGUCCAUUCUUUUUAUCAUUACAUCAAAUCUUUUAUCAAGGUUCUUAGUUUCUUUGCAUUGACUUAGAACAUGUUCUUUUAGCUCACGGAAGAAUCUCAUUACCCACCUGCUAAAGUCUAAUUCCGUCAUUUCAUCACACUCAUUCUCCAUCCAGCUUUGUUCCCUUGCCGGUGAGGAGUUGUGAUCCCUUGUAGGAAGUGAGGUGUUCUGGUUUCAGGUGUUUUCCUCCUUUUUGUGCUGGUUUCUUCCCAUCUUUGUGGGUUUAUCCACCUGUUGUCUGUGUAGUUGCUGAUUUUCCGAUUGGGUCUCUGAGUGGACGUCCAGAUUGUUGAUGAUGAAGUUAUUUCUGUUUCUUAGUUUUCCUUCUAACAGACUGGCUCCUCUGGUUUAGGACUGCUGAGGUCCACUCUAGGCCCUGCUUUCCUGGGGGUCACCUGCAGCAGCUGCAGAACAGUAAGGGUUGCUACCAGUUUUUUCUUCUGCUAUCUUUGUCCCAGAAUGAUGCCUGCCAAAUGUCAGUCUGAUCAGUCCUUUGUGAGGUGACUCUUUGGAUAUACGGGCAUCAGGGAGCUGCUUGAGGAGACAGUCUGUUCUUUAUAGGAGCUCAAGUGCCGAGCUGUGAGCUCUGUUGUUCAUUCAGAGCUGCUAGGAAGGUACAUUUAAGUCUGCUGCAGCAGAACUCCUAAACCCCCUUUUUUUCCCCAGGUGCUCUGUCCCAGGGGGUUAGGGCUUUAUUUAUGAUAGCCGUUGCAUUGCUGCCUUCCUCCCACCAACCCCCGGGCUGUCCUGCUCAGCAAGGGGACAGCCUAGUCACUGCCUGUAGAGGUUUUGCUGAGCCUCUGCUGUGUGUUCUGCCCUGCUGUUGGCUCCACCCUGCUGCCGUGUGUAUUUCCCUGCAGUCCUGUUUAUAUGGGUGUGGUUAGAACUGCCACAGCAAUGUUGGCCUGCCUCUGUAAUGGCAGACUCUCUCUGUUAUGGCAGGUUGCCUCAGCAAUGGCGGGCUGUGUCAGCAAUGGCAGACUACCUCUGUAGGGGUGGAGUGCUUUGGUAAUGGCGGACGCCCCUCCCACACAGAGCUGGGCCGUCCUGGUUUUAGCUGUGCUUGCCGUGAAACUCUCAACCCCGAGUGUUUCCAAUUGCUGUUUGUUUGUUUUUGAGGGCGUGGGACCCGCCAAGCCUGAUCACCUGGCUCCCUGCCUCAGAGCCCUUUUUUUUUUUUUAAGUUGAACGGUUGACUCUCUCCCAGGUGUUCCAGUUGCCUGAUGAAAGGGCGCUGGGAUCUGUGUGAUUUCCUGUGCAGCAACCCACUGCGCUGGCUGAAACAACGUGGCUGCCUGGGAAUCUCCUGGCCUGCUUUAUGUUUCAGUCCCGUUUAAUCAGAUGAAUGGGCUAAUCUGCCUUCCCAGAUCUCAAAUUGCCAGUUUAACAGGGCAACCAGACCAGUGUAUUUUGUAUGGAGAGCCGCUGCACUGUGGCGCUGGCUGAAACAGCUGUGCCGGCCGAAACAGCCGCUCUGGCCAAAACAGCUGCUCUGGUGACCUGUGGGUCUCCUCCACCUUGGAAUCUCCUGGUCUGUGGGCAAUAAAGAUCUGUCUGGAAAUAUGGCGUUCACUCACCCUCUGUGCUUUCACUGGUAGCUACAAUCCUGAGCUGUUCCUACAGCGCCAUCUUCCUCCUUCCCUCUUUUUAUUAUUAAUAGACUGUUUUAAGAACAGUUUUAGGUUUCCAGAAAAAUUGAGCAGAAAGUAUGGAGUUCCCAUAAACCCCCUCUUCCUUCUUCCCAGUUUCCCCAAUUAUUAACAUAUUGCAUAUUGGUAUAUUUGUUAUAAUUGAUACAUUAUUAAGUAGAGUCAACAGUUUACAUUAGGGCUUACUCUGUUGUACUGUUCUAUGAGUUUUGUCGAAUACAUAAUGUCAUGUGUCCCCCAUUAUAGUAACAUACAGAAUAGUUACAUUCCCCUAAAAUUGCUCUGUGUUCCAUACAUUAAUUCUUCCCUCCUCCUUUUCCCUUAACCCCGGGAACCACUGACCUUUUUACUGUCUCUAUAGUUUUGCCUGUUCCAGAAUGUCAUUUACUUGUAAUCAUACAGUAUGUUGCCUUUUCAAACUGGCCUCUUUUACUUAGCAAAAUGCAUUUAAACUUCUUCCAUGUGCUUUUGAGGCUUGAUACCUCAUUUCUUUUUAUCACUAAAUAGUAUUCCAUUAUAUGCAUAUCCCACAGUUCAUUUAUUCAUUCACCUAUUGAAUGACAUUUUGCUUGCAUCCAAGUUUUGGCAAUUACAAAGGAGGCCACUGUAAACAUUCGUGUGCAGAUUUUUGUGUUUUCAAUUCAAUUGGAUACUUAGGAGUCAAUUGUGUGACUUUAUGGUAAGACUAUGUUUAGCUUUGUAAUAAACUGCCCAUCUGUCUUCUAAAUGGCUGUGCUUUUUUGCAUUUCCACCAGCAAUAAAUGGGUGUUUCUGUCACUCCCCAUCCUUGCUACCUUUCGGUGUUGUCAAUGUUUUGUGUUUUAGCCAUUGUAAUAUGCACAUAGUGGUGUCUCAUUGUUGUUUCAACUUGCAAUUCUCAGAUGACAUGAGUGGCAGCAUCUUUUCAUAAGCAUAUUUACCAUCUGCAUGUCUUCUUUGGGUAGGUGUUUGCUCAGAUCUUUUGUCCACUUUUUAAUUGAGUUGUUUGUUUUCUUAUUGUUGAGUUUUAGGCAUUCUUUGUAUAUUUUGGGUAUAAAUCCUUUUUCAGGUAGAUGCUUUCAAAAAUUUUAUUCCCAGUUUGUGGCUAGUCCUUUCAACUCUUAAUGAAUUCCUUUUUUCUAUUAACAUUUAUAGAACGUAAAAUGGUAAAUGUCUGCCAGUGUUAAAGAAAUUUAGGUGAUACAAUCAACACAUGGUUGACAGUCUCCAAAGAUGGAUGUCACCAAAUUAGAGAAAGUGUUGGGCAGAUGUUAGAGGCAUGCAUAGUGAUUUUUGUCAUUCUCAUAUUUUGGUUCUGAUUAGGAAGAGUGGGUUUGUGGUUGUGAGAGGUUUAAAGUGUAGAUGUGGUGUGAGAAGUCAUGUGCUGUGAACUAGAAGUGAGAGACUAAGUAAUAAGGCAAAGAGAUGGAAGGUGUCUUUGCUUCUGCUGCUAUAACAAAAAAUCUUAAACUGGGUAAUUUAUAAACAAAGUAAAUGUAUUGCUCAUAGUUCUGGAGGCUGGGAAGUCCAAGAUCAAGAUCAAGAUCAAGGUAUUGGCCAAUUUGGUGUCCAGUAAGGGCCCAUUCCUCAUAGAUGAUGGUGUCCAGGUGUUUCCACAGGGCGGAAGAGAUACAAAAGCUAGUUCUUUUGAGCCCUUUCAUAAGGGCACUAAUCCUAUUCAUGAGGGCUCUGCUCUCAAUUCUUAAUCACCUCCUAUAAAGUUUCAACAUAUGAAUUUAGAGACCAUAGCAGAGGUGUUUUGGGGACCUCACAAAUUCUGGGGACAUAUGCUCAGGGCUCAUGAAGGUAUUGUUUGCGCUGGUGAAUUUGAUACCAGAACCAGUGUGAACAGCAUUUCUGCCUCAAACAAUUUCUGGCUCCAAAUAAGGCCUUAGUAUGAGUUCAAAGCAAUUAUUACUUAGCUUGGAAAAUAAUCCUAAAAACAGAGAAAAUUCAGCAGAAAGUAACUAAGGUUGAAAAUGGAAAAAAUGCAUCGAAUUGUGUUUGUAUGUUCUGGUUCUUUAAGUCUUGCUUUCCAUCCCAUUUUUUUCAUAUAUUUCUAUGUAAUUUGCACUUUGAUGACUUUUAUACAGUUAGAUUUAACCAAUGAAAGAAAAUAAAGGAGAGUUGGAGUUAUCCCCUAUUUUUCUCCCUAAUAUCCAGGCUGGAUAACAAGACAGGUGAGGCUGUUCCUCACCAAGCAAGCCUCACUCUUAAGGAAUUGAAAAGCAUGUUAGUAGGAAAAACCAGCCCAGGGGCUACAGGCUCAGGGCAUGUGCCUCUCCUUCUUCUUCAUGGAGUGGGGCAUCCCUGAUUUGUCACAACAUUCCUUCCCAGUGAGCUCAGCCAUGACUUACAGGUCUUCUUGCACUCGGGGAGUCACUUCCAGUACAUCAGAGUUGGUGUGUGAGAAGAAAUGUAUUUGCCAUCCCUGAAGUAGCCUGAACUGUUUCAUAAAGACCCUUUGGCUCAGCUCUGAAAACUCCAUGACCUCCUGGGAACCCACAAAGUACAGGACUCCACUGGCUACUGGAUGACACGCUGGGUAGCAUGUGGGCAAACUGCCUGGUGGCAUUAUUACACAGCAGAGACAUUGAUGAAUCACAAGCAUGCCCAGGUGGCCCUGAAGCUCUCAAGCCCAGAGAGGGAGCUCCUGAGCAAUACCAUGGGCUGUGGCCAGCCACUGCCUUGGCUGUCAUUCCUGUAUGUCCUUUUCAUUUCCCACACACUAUGGCCUGAGCCAAACACGUCAGAAACAUUUGUUGCUGGUCACACUGAGGCCACAAUCUCAGAAAACAAAUCACGAGCCACUGUGAAGCUGCACAGGAGUUCAUGAGUGGGAGUAAGGACAGCAAGGCUAGGGGAAUUCUGUGAGUCUUUCAAUAGUAGCUUUAAACAAAUUCUGCUCAUGGGAGAGAUUAGGGCUGGGGGAGAGGGGCACAUGGUCCCUGGCAGACCCUGCAGACUUCAGGAAAGAGCCUAGGAACAGGAUGCCACGCUGAUACAUCAACCCAACCCAUGCAAGUGCAUACAAAGGCUACAGGAAGACAGAAGAAGGAGAAAAUAGUCAAUGUAUUCAAUCAUCCCAGCAACCCUGGGAGAUAGAAUUAUUGGAUCAUUUUCACAGAUAAGGAAACCGAGGUAAGAAAAAUUUCCUUCCUUCCUUCUUGCCUGCCUUCUCUCUGCCUCUCUCUCUCCCCGUUGGUCUAUCCAUUCUCUGCCCACAUUGUACCUUUCUGUCUUUCCUUCCUUCUUUUUCGCUCGUUAAACAAAUAUUUACUGAGCAUCUCCAUGUACCAGGCAUGGUGCUAGAUGCUGAGAGUUGGCAGGGAAGAGGAUACGCAUAGUCCCUGUCCUCACAGGGAGUCACCCACCUGUGGGUGUACAGUCAGUGCAUGAAUCAUAGUGUGGAGAGGCAUGUAAUUACUUUUACGGCAGGGAAAGGACAGGUGCAAUGAGAACAGCAACUAGAGGUGUGGACAAGGCCCUGUGGAGCGUGAGACUCCGGCCUGGUUCCCUGACUCCUGAGUCUCAGGUCUUGCCCAGUAUGUGGUAAAGGAGGGAACAUUUGAACAACUCCCUGGGUAAGCUGUAAUCAACGAUUUCCUUAACCUAUGACUGUGACUUAAAGGAAAAUCUCCAGCCGAACGGCUGUGGAGUUUUAACACUAGCAUGUAGGCUGUUUCUAUCUGGCAUUAGACAAGGCCUCCCAGCCCAGACCUGCUCUUCAAGGACACAGGCCACAUCUGCACCAGUCACAGAAUCUCAGAAGAGUAUCCUUUCAUCUAAUAUUUAUGGAGUGCUCCAGGGCUGAAGGGGCACAACAAAGGGAGUCGUGUGGAAAGGGGACAGGAGCAGGCACUGCUGAACUCCUUAGUGUGUGUAAGCCGAAAAUGAGUCUGACUCGGACACUGUGUCUGAUCUUGAAAACCUAGCAUUUUUGUGGAGAAGAGAGACCUGAAGUCAGUUAACUAUAAGAAAAAAUAUUAAUCCACUGAUGCAUAUAUUCAUUCGUUCAUCCAUCCAGAAUUAUUACCUUUUCAGCAUAGAUUUUGGGCGAAGGCAUUGGGCUAGGCGCAAGAGAUUUUGAAAAAUCAGGCUAUCAUAUGUAGUGUUGAGUCUGACGGGAAGGGAGACUGGAUUUCUAUCACGUGGUGAGUGUACUGGUGGAGCCAUGCCUGGGGCCCCAGAGCAGGGGCGCCUAAUGUCAGUAGGGUGAGUGCUGGGCAGAAAAGGUUUCCAGGAGGGGCGGGGAGGGGAAUGUUAAAUGAAGCAUGGGCUUGGCUAGAGAGGAGUCUUAUUUCCUUACAGGGAAAGUACAUCCCAUCCCUGAAGUGUCUGAUCCCUAGAGUGCCCUGUCGGAGCUGCAUGUGGGAUGCAGCACAUGGAUACCAGGUUGGGGAUCAGUCUGAAGGGACAGACCUGCAGAAGACCAUGUAGGAGGCUGAGACAGGGCUGUCCUUAGUCCUCAGGAGUGGCAGAAGCAAGGCCUGUGGGAGCCUCAAGGAGAAUCGCUUGGUUCUGACUUGGAGGGACAGGGCCAGGCUUCACCCAGGAGUUGCUGUGAAGGAUUGGCAGGGGGUGGGGAGACAAGAGCACACACCAGGCAUGGCCAAGGGCAUACAUGCAGAUGGCACACUCAGCUUUUUCCCCACCCCUACUGGCUGGGAGACAGCAGUUGAGGUAGCUGCAAAGGCCCUUCCAUUGCCUGCCCAGGUCCACAGGGGCAGGCCCUGGUAGCUAGGUUUGUAUGUUACAUUGUUACACAGCAACCCUGGCCUAGAUAAUUGUCCAAGAGAGAACAUCUGACCCACAUUGCCUUAUAGGCUUUCCAGCUUAGAACUAAGAAAUCAAAGGCUGGGAGUGGGCAGAGCACCGGAGUCUCCUACUGAGGGCCUCAAGCUGUCAUGGAUUCCUUUCUGAACCCCAGUUAUUCAACUCCCCUUCGAAUUAUCUGAGAUUCUCCUUCCAAAAAAUUCUUUUUUACUGUCAUUAAGUGGGUUUUUGCUAUUUGUAACCAAAAUAAUAUUAACUAAUACUUACCAGCCAAGGUGAAUUUGUUAAGCAAAAAUAAUAUAUCUUUUAAAGCUAAUUUCAGGUCCUUCUGGAACAAUCUUGUCUAAAGUUGAUUUAGCCAAAUUACAUCUACAUUCCAGAUCUUAUAAAAUUUGUGAUUCUUCUAAGACCACCUGCUCACCUUGGCUUGGACACAGCUAAAACUCCUCAUGAAGUCUACAUGGAUGGAUGACAUGCAGGAAGAAACAUAAACCAUUUCUACUCAGAGUUCACCACAUCACUAAGAAUGAUCAGAAUGGCUGAAGCACUGGAAUAUUUUUAAACAUGAGAAAAAGAAGAUAAUUUAGAAUUUGUUUAUCAAAGCAUUCAGGUAGGAAGUAGAAAACAUGGUUUGCCAUCUAAAUGUUUAUUUUAUAGAUCUGAAUGGGGGCAAUGUAGGCCCUGAAUUUUUCACUUCUUACUUGUUACUGCUGUUAGGUCUUAACCACUGUCUCCCCAGCCCUCCUCAGCAGAAGCGACUGAAGCCAGGCACCUGUGAACUCUGCCUCCCCUGGCUCAGAAGCCAAUGCUGACCAGAUCAGUAAGUACAGUAAGAGUCUAUCUCCCACGGUGGGUGGGGCACGGAGUCAGUCUUGCUAUUGUUAUCCUGAGAGGGUUGCUGGCCUAAGCCCUUGUUUGCUGAAUGCCAAGGGCUUCACCUGUAGACAGUGGGGUGGAGAGGUUAAAGGCGUGAACUUCAGAGUCAGGCCUGGGCUGGGUUGCUGAUCUCUCUAGCUACGAGAUCUUGGGCUGCUUCCUAACUUCUCCAAACCUCUUAUUCCUUAUCUGUAAAACAGGGGCAAUAAAGAUUUACCCCUUGAGGUUGCUGUGAGGCUCAGGGGAGACGACACCUGGAAAGCACUUGGGAUAGAAUAAAUUCUCCACUAAGCAGUAGCUACCACUGUCUUUAAUGCCUCCCCUCCUCCUGCUUCAUGCUCCUUGUUCCUAGGUUUUCUGAUGCUUCCAUCUCAGGUACAGACCCCACUCUGAGACCAGUGACUACCCCUGGAUUCUGGCUGUGCUUAGUCUAAGUGAUGACAGUUUUCCUAGCUGUGAUGGUUAAUUUUGUGUCAACUUGUGCGGGCCAUGAGAUGUCCAGAUACCUGGUUCAGCAUUCUUUCUGGAUGUGUCUGUGUGGGCAUCUCCAGGAGGGAUUAGCACUGGAACUGUUGAACUGCAUAAAGCAGAUGGCCCUCCCCAAUGUAGCAUGCACCAUCCAUUAUGAUUCAGCAUCGUGAGCCUGAAUCAUAAGAAGAUGGAGGAAGGUUGAAGUCACUCUUUAUCUAACUGCUUGGGCUAGGAUAUUGAUCUUUAGCCAUGAUGCUCCUGUUUCUCAGGUCUUCAGACUUGGACCAAAAUCUAUACCAUCAGUUCUCCUACCCUCAGACCUUCAAACUACACCACUGGCUUUCUUGAGUCCCCAUCUUGCAGAGAGCAGAUCUUGUGACUUAGCUUCUAUAAGAGUGUGAGCCAGUAGCUUAUCAUAAAUCUCUCUCUCUCAAUGUGUGUGUGUGUGUGUGUUUGUGUGUGUGUCCAUUGGCUCUGUUUGGAUGACACCAAAUAGUACACUAGCCCUUGUCAAGGAGCUAGACUAUGACUCCAGAAAUCCCUUGGGUCUGCUUGGGACCCACCCUCAGUCCAGAUGGACCAGAGAAAACUACAAUGUCAUCCCCAUCUGACUUCAGGUCUUGCCCUUGCCCAGAUUAGGCCCUCAAGGUGCCAUUAUAGGCAAAACAUUGAAUUGCAAAGUAAGGUGGAACCUCAAUAAACCGUUCUGCACGUGUGUGUCAAAAUGAUCCCCUGCUUUGUGGGCUCAUUUUAGCCUCUUCAGUGAAUGGUCUGAUGAGUCAGAAUUAUCCAAACCCCAAGUCCUACUCAGCACUGGUCUCUUAUUGCUUGUUUAUCUGCCUGCUUCCACUGGACUGGGAACAGCCUGUGACUAGGUCUUUCUUGUGUUCCCAACACAGAGCUAGGUUCUGGCACAUACUAAGUGCUCUGUAAAUACUGGGUGAAUGCUAGGAACAAGGUCCUGUGAGCAUCCCCCAUUCACUGCUGUUGCAGUGGCCUGCACUUGUUGAUCUCCUUUUUUUAAAAAAAUGAAGCACUUACUAGGUGCCAGGCACUUAGUUGGACACUUUUUUGUUUUUAGAGACAGGGUGUCGAUCUGUCACCCAGGUUGGAAUACAGUAGUGCAGUCAUAGCUCACUGUAACCUUGAACUCUUGGGCUCAAGGAAUCCUUCCCCUUGGGCCUCCUGAGUAGCUGAGACGACAUGGACUUAGCACCAUGACAUGGUAUAUUUAAAAAUUAUUUUGUAAAUAUAGUGCCUUGCUAUGUUGCCCAGGCUGGUCUUGAACUCCUGGCCUCAAGUGAUGCUCCACCUUAGCUUCUCAAAGCACUGGGAUUACAGGUGUGAGUCACCAUUUCUGCCCUGGGUACUUCUUAUGUACGUUGUUUUGUUUCAUUCUCACAAUAACCCUGUGAGGAAGGUUCUCUUAUCAUCAUUGGGUCAAGGAGGCCCCUGAGGCUCAGAGGUUGAAGAAUUUUAGAUCACACAGCUAAUCAGAGACAGAAUCAGGCAUCAGUUCUGAUCUUUGCUUAGUUACUCAGCUCCUUUAUUUUUGUUUAACUUUUGAAGAUCUUAAACCACAUCAAUCCCAACUAUAUAGUCACCAUGUUGAGGACGGGAGCCAAGUAUAAUAUUUCCUUGAAAUUCCCACAGUGCCAGGGUGACUGAUAAAUAAUUGUUGAUUGAUCCCCAUAAAAGGCCUUGCUACCAGACAGCUGACCAGUCUUAUGACAAGCUUUUCUCUCUGAGAAACUUCAGAUCCACGAGUUGGCUCCAGGGAUGAAAGCAAGUAUUAUGUUUGAGGAUAGGAUUGGGUAUCAAGUCUGUAACCCUGGAACCUCAAGUUCAUGGUUAAGGUUCUUAAUACUUUUUAACCUUCUGUACCCUGUAGACACAGAGACAGGCAGUCAGCAUGGAUUAAGGGAGCCUCAAUUAAUGCCUACCUCUUAAUAUUUGGUCACUGUACAAAAGUGGGCUGCCAGGUACCGGAGAUUAACCAGUCUGGAUUAUCUGCCUGGGCAGAUUAGUUGGCUCAAGGUAGAACAGCAGAGUGCCCCUCAGCCCAGUGGAACCAAGUAUAGGAAGUUGGGGCAAUGGAAUGUUCUGUGCAAGUGGAGGUCUUGAGAGGAUUCUGUUCCAUGUUGUAUUAGCGUCUUAGUCUGCUGAAGCUGCCAUAAUAGAGUACCACAUUUGGGGUGGUUUAAACAACAGAAAUUUAAUUUCUCACAGUUCUGGGGGCUAGAAGUUCAAGAUCAAGGUCUCAGCAGGGUUGGUUUCUUCUGAGGCCCCCUCCCUGGCUUUUAGAUGACUGCCUUCUCAAUGGGGCCUCGCAUGGUCUUUCCCCUAUCCCUGUCUCUUGUCCUAAUCUCCUCUUAUAAGGAUACUUGUCAUGUUGGAUUAGGGAUCACCCUAAUUACCUCAUUUUCACUUCAUCACCUCUGUAAAGGUUCUUUCUCCAAAUACAGUUAUACUCUAAGGUGCUGAGGGUGAGGACUUUGGCAUUUGAAUUUUGGAGGGACACAAUUCAGUCUACAACAGUGAGAUUAUUGAUAUAUCAAAAAGGGCUUGUAAUGGAUAUACCACUCUAGUGAUCACUAUGGAAUUUGGUAUUGUAAAAGGGGCUUGCCUUCCAUCAUGACUAGUGGGCUUUAAGAAAGGGGCCUGUCCAUGCAAUUUGACCUGGGAGCCAGCAUGACACACUCAAGGUGCCGAAAGAGGCAAUGUGAUAAGAAUAGGGAGCCGAACGCUGGACAGAUUGACAGUAUAGCAGAGAGUAGCUAUAGUAUUAGCUGAGUAAUUAUUGAUAUAUACACAUAACACUGUAUAUAGUAGUUACAUUAGUAUGUAUAGAGGUUAUAGUGUAUAUAUGUGUAUGUGUAUGUAUAGUCCAUAGUGGCGAUAGUAGAAUAGCCCCUGGGUCCUUGGCUCCUUCUCCUCUGAUCACAACCCUUCGUUAAGCCCCAGAUAAGGUUUUGCAUCUCUUCUAAGUGUAUAGUGUUGUAGCCACCUUGGAGCUUUUCAUCCACCCAGCUCACCUCAUUUUGCAAUAAUGACAGCCCCCAGGAAAAGCACAGAUUGGAUUAGCACACCGUACGGUUAUUUCAGCACCCUGGGGAUUCACAGCUGUGAUUCACAGCUGUGAAAAGCAAAAGCUGGUUCAGCCCCAUUCACUUUCUUUAAAUCAGCAAUGACCUAAGCAAAUAAACCCCAGUGCCAGGGAAAUUUAGCUGGAGUCAGUGCUCUGAAAACUGAAAGGCCACGAACAAGAAUGAAAAUUUUACGUUUCUCAACAGCUGAAGCCGAGAGCCAGAAUUUAUGGAUUUGUCCAUGUGGCCUUCUAGAGCUCAGAUUUCUCAGAGAAAUUGCCAAAUUGUUUAAAUGCUAAUGCUAUAGCUAUUCCAGCCUCCCUAGAGAAUUUUAUUUUAUCACGAGACUAGAGUUUGUAAAUCCAUUUCUCAUCUAACAUUUUCAAGUCAAACUUAAAUGCAGUGCAAUGCAUUUUGAGCUCCUGAGAGGAGCUAGGUGCAACGUGGAAUUCCUUAAGGAUUUCAGGAGUAGCAAAGGAAAGUCACAUGUUCCCAGCAGCCCAUGAAAGAUACUCACAGGGGAAGCCCAAUGGAAGUAUAAGCAUUUGGGAAGGGGAGAUUAAUUCUGAUGUGUGUGUGUGUGUAGGGGGGUUUGGGGGAAGCAGGAAAUUCAAUGAAGCAUCUCUUCCUUCUGGGGAGAAUGUGGGAACUAGAUCUUCUCAGACUUUCUUUGCUUUGUGUUGCUUUUUGAAAUGAGACAUUUUGGAGGGUCGGGGAGGAGAGUACACCCCAAGGAAACACUUUGCCUUUGUGCUUGAGAGAAAUAAUGCAGGCGAGGAGAAUGAGACCUUGGGAGGCAAAGCUAACUACAGAUGGUAAAACAAAAAGAGCUGGGGAGGAGGUAAGGCAGGGACUCCCUGUGGAUGGGCUGGUUUGGGAGGGCUUCUCAGAGAAUCAGGACCCACCCUACAGUUAACACAGAGCAGGCACAGGUGAGGUGGCAUCAAACAAAUGGGUGGAAACAUUGGCUAAAACAUGUCAUUUAAAAUAACAGAUUGGGCCAGGCGCAGUGGCUGGCUCACACCUGUAAUCCCAGCACUUCGGGAGGCCGAGGGGCAGAUCAAGAGGUCAGGAGUUUGAGACCAGCCUGACCAACAUGGUGAAACCCCAUGUCUACUAAAAAUGCAAAAAUUAGCUGGGUAUGGUGGCAUGGGCCUGUAAUCCCAGCUACUUGGGAGACUGAGGCAGAAUUGCUUGAACCCAGGAGGCAGAGGUUGCAGUGAGCCGAGAUUGAGCCACUGUACUCCAGCCUGGGUGACAGAGCAAUUCUGUCUUGGAAAGAAAAUAAAAUAAAAUAAUACAUCGACUUGGUGAAAGUGAAUAGUAUUUUUUUUUCAGAUAUUGAUGAUUUUAUUUUACCAGCUGGGCAGUUCAGCAACUUUUUUGUGUGUGUUAUCAAGCAUUUUGCUCAUUUUCUAGCCUAUUAUGAUGUUUUUUCCUUCCAUCUUUUAUUUUAGGCUCGAGAGGUACAUGUGCAGGCUUGUUACACGAGCAAAUUGUGAAUCACUGGGGUUUGAUGGGCAAGUGAUUUCAUCACCCAGGUAGUGAGCAUAGCACCUGAUGAACAGCUUUUCCAUCCUUACCCUCCUCUCGCCUCCACCCUCAAGUAAGCCUUGACUGGUGUCUGCUGUUCCACUCCUGUGUCCAUGUGUACUCACACAUGGAAGAUUUUUAAUAGCUUGGGGGUUAUUGUUUUUAUCAUAUUUUAUUUCCAAUUUACUUUCAGCCAAUUGUGACUCUUACUUGCUGGUCACUGUUUUCAUGAAGUCUUAAAAUUUUCUAAUCACUCAGAUUUUUGUGCCAUCUGCAAAAUGCUUGAUUUCAUGUAAAACCAAUUUUGUCCAAAAAUUGUGAUUUUAAAUUGUUAAUUCAUCUCUGCUAAUAGGAUAACAACUGUCCUAGUUAGCCUGGGACUGAGUGGGUUUCCCAGGACAUGGGACUUUCAGUGCUCAAAAUGGAGAAUUCCGAGCAAAUUGAGAUGGUGGCCACCCUAGGUGACAAUGCCUGCUGUGGCAGAGAUGGCCGCUGUUCCCUACACAUCAUGCUGCAUUCUUGCCCAGUUGCCCUUGCACCUAAGUAGGGCUGUGUGGCUGGUUCCUGUCAAUGGCUGUGAUGUGAGCAGCAAAGCAGAAGCAGGCUCUUCUCUCCCUUCUCCUCCUAUUUAACAUGGAUGUUGACACCCCAAGCAAUCUUGGAAACACUAUGUAUUGAAGAUGGAAGAGCCUCUGUGGGAUCUAGCAUCUGUGGGGUCCAUGGGAUCGUGGCCCAGGACCUCACCAUCUGCCCUGCUGCCACACUGUGGGGCUGCACAAAAUCAAGAAACAGCUUCUGUCAGGUUAAACCAGUGAGAUGUCAGUAGAUGUUCCAGCAGUUGGUGCUAUCAUUAUUAAUGUAUCUACCCAACCUUUUAAGCCAUAUUUUUAAUUUUUUGAUUUUACAUUCUUUUUAUAAUAAAAAGACUGGGAGUUUCAACACAAAUGUUGUUGCAAACUUUGCUUUAACCAUUCCAUGGUAUUCUACAGCCACAAUUUGAUCCAACUUUUGUGUCAGAUUUGAAGCUACAAAGACUGACACUCCCCCCAUAUAGAUUCUGGCUCAGUCUGGACUUCGGCAGAGAAUUCUCAGAACCAGAGUCGUGGACAGUCAGUGAGGAAAGAAUGCCUGGCAGAUUUUUCAUCUGAGAGGGGUUAGGGCAAAGGAAGCAUAUAAGAUCACUAAAGAUAAUAGUUUUCCUUCCAUGCAACCUGCAAAAAUAACAUAUUUAUUAGCCCUUCCCCUAAGCUAAGGAAAACUGUAUGUAAACUGCCUCCUGACUUCAAAUCUAGAAUUUCUCUAGAAAGCUAAGUCAGGCUGGCAGCUCUGUAAAUACAGAGGGCAUCCACAGUCAAUUUGCCAACCAGAAUUUCACCUGAAUUUUUAAAAUCCUGGGGAUAAGAAUGCUCCCAUUGGCCAGGCACAGUGGCUCACACCUGUCAUCCCAGCACUUUGGGAGGCUGAGGUGGGAAGACCAUUUGCGGUCAGGAGUUCCAGAUCAGCCUGGCCAGCGUGGUGAAAUCCCCUCUCUACUAAAAUUACAAAAAUUAGCUGGGCGAGGUAGUGCAUGCGUGUAGUCCCAGGUACUUGAGUGGCUGAGGCACAAGAAUUGCUUGAACCCAGGAGGCAGAGGUUGCAGUGAGACAGGAUCAUGCCACCUGCACUCCAGCCUGGGUGACAGCAAGAGCCUAUCUCAAAAAGAAAAAAGGAAGAAUGCUCCCAUUUAUGAAUUGAAUGACACAAUGUAUUUUAAAAUGCCCAGCCAUACCUGACAGCGUAGAUGCUCCAUAAAUAUUACUUUUUUCUUUGCAAAAAAUGAUAGCAGUAAUUUUUUUCCCCUUUACUCACAUGAUUCAAUGGUUCUAAGGUGGUGUAUCAGUUUGAGUCCUCUGAGACGCAUAUGCUAAGAUGAAGUUAGAUGUGCAACGUAUUCACUGGGGGACAUAUCUGGGCUUAGGACAAUUUUUUGGGAAAACCUGUGUUUGUUUUCCUUGCCCCAAAGGAAAGAAGGAGUAGGAGAAGAUGCAGAGAGCCAUCAAACUGUAAUACUGGUCUGACACCUGGGAGAGAAGAAAGGAAGGAGAAAAGAUUGGGUAGGAAGAGCUUGAGAGUUUGCAGCUGUGAGAAAGUCUUGGCCAGGCAAUGGGGAAUCCCAGAGCAAAGACUGCCCAUCAGACGAUCCUGGCUCUAAAAUCCCACUGUGACCAGUCAUUGUCUAGGAGCAGCCCAGGGAAAGCAUGGCCUUGUGUGAGCUGCUUUGCAUCCCAAAAUGUCAGCAGCUAAUAACCAGCUGUAUUUCCUGAAACAAGUUCUCUCUAAAAGGGAGAGUUGAACCAUGCAUUCCCAUAGUUGCCAUAGAAUAUAUGGGGAACUUUUUUUUCUCCAAAUGCACAGAAGAACAACAACCUCUACUAUUACUUUUUACUUUUUCUUUUUUUUGAGACAGAGUCCCACUCUGUCUCCCAGGCUGGAGUGCAGUGGUGCUAUCUUGGCUCACUGCAGUUUCUGCCUCCUGGGUUCAAACAAUUCUCCUGUCUUAGCCUCCCAAGUAGCUGGGACUACAGGUGCACGCCACCAUCCCUGGCUAAUUUUUGUAUUUUUAGUAGAGACGGGGUUUCAUCAUAUUGGUCAGGCUGGUCUCAAACUCCUGACUGGGUGAUCCACCCACCUGGGCCUCCCAAAGAGCUGGGAUUACAGGUGUGAGCCACCAAGCCCGGCCAAACUCUACUAUUAUUGUCUGUUGAGGUUUUCAUAUAGAUUUCAGCUAACAGCUAAAAACCGAACUUUCAAUAACUAAACAAAACAAGCUGGUGAAAAGCUCUGCUAGGACAGAUUGGGUUUUGCAACAUAGCCAGCAGGUGGAAAAGCCUCCCAUGUAAUGAAACCCGAAGCAGCACGGCAGCCGUGCAGCCGAGAAUUCAGGAGCUGUUUGGCAUAUGCUGGGUUAAUUUCAAACCCUUCAAAUGAGACUGCAAAGUGUGCCACUCAGCAGAGGUUCUAUUACUGAGUGAAUGAAGCCUUAUAAUUAAUUCUCCACUUUUAAGAUGUAAAAUGAGAAGUUCACUGAGGCCUCGAGCAUGUUGGGAGAAUGACAGCACUUGAGGAUUAGCAGACUGAGGCUUAGGACGAUUUUUGGGGAAAACCUAUUUUUAUUUUCCGUGCCCCAAAGAGACAAAGGUUUAAAGGGGAGUUAAUGGGGGAUUUAGAGACAGGGCUUUAUUUCCAGAGUUUUCAUUGGCUCAGGUUACUGGGCUGAUCUGGAUGUCAGUGUCUUUGGUACCAAAAAAACCCUGUGUAAUAUAAAAAUCACCUUGCUCUGCUAGUUCUCAUUUUCAUGUGGGAAAUUGAUAAGUUCAAAUUUUAAAUUGAUAGCGAAUACCUGGUAUGGGCCCAAGUUUUGUGGAGCUUGAAGUUUAAAUAAUUUGAGGUGUACUUUAAAGAAAGAAGAAUAGAAAAUAUUGAAACAAAUUAGGUAGGAAAAUAAAUACUUAGAAUGAGAAAAGAAAUCAUAACAAAUUACAGAUUGGAAAUAUUGGACAAGCAGCAUAAUAUGCAAAAUCCAGAAAAAAACUGCUAUUUGAAUAAGUUAAGUACCUGACACACUUCCCUAAUACUUAUAGCUUCCAUUUUUUGGAUGCAUACUUGUUAUCCGUUUUAAAUUUUUUUCUUUUCUUUCCUUUCCUUUUUUUUUGUUUUUUUUUGAGAUGGAGUCUUGCUCUGUUGCCCAGACUAGAGUGCAAUGGUGCCAUCUCGGCUUACUGCAACCUCUGGUUCCUGGAUUUAAAGGAUUCUCCUGCCUCAGCCUCCUGAGUAGCUGGAACUACAGGUGUGCAACAUCACACCUGGCUAAUUAUUUUUGUAGUUUUAGUAGAGAUGGGGUUUUGCUAUGUUGUCCAGGCUGAUCUGAAACUCCUGACUUCAUGUGAUCCACCUGCCUCAGCCUCCCAAAGUGCUGGGAUUACAGGUGUAAGCCACCACACCCAGCUGUUACCCAUUUUUUUAGACUGAGUUUUGCUCUUUAGAUGGAGGUUUGCUCACCGCAACCUCCGCCUCCUGGGUUCAAGCUAUUCUCCUACCUCAGCCUCCCAAAUAGUUGGGAUUACAGACAUGUGCCACCACGCCUGGCUAAUUUUGUAUUUUUAAUAGAAACAGGGUUUCUUCAUGUUGGUCAGGCUUGUCUCAAACUCCUGACCUCAGGUGAUCUGCCCACCUCGGCCUCCCAAAGUGCUGGAAUUACAGGCGUGAGUCACCAUGUAUUUUUUUAUAGCAAUAAUUUUAUAAUAUCCUUUUCUGAAGAGAGAUUAAAAAGAUAAUUCAGACUUGUCUAGCAUGGUUGACCAAAAAAAUUUUAAUUGACAGUCAGGAUGUAUAAAAUAUGUGAUUUCAUUUACUGAAGUACAAACUAUUUGUAUUAUUAGCUAUAUGUUUGUGUGUUACAAAGGAAUGCUAAG